rnacentral:lncRNA from 1 species
UAAUGAGUUUUAAUGGCUUUAAAUUCUUGAUGAUAGAAUAAAGCCUAUAAAUAGUUUUUGGUCCCCAAAGCUUUCUCUCAUCAGAAAAGAAAUACACCAUCUAUAUUGAGAGAGAAAGAGCUUGGAAGAAUCAAAGGCAGUGCACUCACAAUACUGCAACAAUGGUUGGAGGUAAAACCUCUAAUUCUAUUUCCGCAUUUUGUUUUAUU